rnacentral:rRNA from 1 species
GGGGAAUUUUGGACAAUGGGCGCAAGCCUGAUCCAGCCAUGCCGCGUGUCUGAAGAAGGCCUUCGGGUUGUAAAGGACUUUUGUCAGGGAAGAAAAGGCUGUUGCUAAUAUCAAUAGCUGAUGACGGUACCUGAAGAAUAAGCACCGGCUAACUACGUGCCAGCAGCCGCGGUAAUACGUAGGGUGCGAGCGUUAAUCGGAAUUACUGGGCGUAAAGCGAGCGCAGACGGUUACUUAAGCAGGAUGUGAAAUCCCCGGGCUCAACCUGGGAACUGCGUUCUGAACUGGGUGACUAGAGUGUGUCAGAGGGAGGUAGAAUUCCACGUGUAGCAGUGAAAUGCGUAGAGAUGUGGAGGAAUACCGAUGGCGAAGGCAGCCUCCUGGGAUAACACUGACGUUCAUGCUCGAAAGCGUGGGUAGCAAACAGGAUUAGAUACCCUGGUAGUCCACGCCCUAAACGAUGUCAAUUAGCUGUUGGGCAACCUGAUUGCUUAGUAGCGUAGCUAACGCGUGAAAUUGACCGCCUGGGGAGUACGGUCGCAAGAUUA